UUGCUGUAAAAGUCUAGUUUGGUUCUUCUGAUGAAAACUGAUCCUGAGUCUGUUUCGUUCCGUUUCAGCGUCUCAGACUGCGUUGAUCAUCAGACUGGUUGUUGCCCUGCUGGUUCUGCUGGGGACCGGUUCUGGUCCUCUACUUCAAGACCAGGAGAAGCCAGAAGUCUGGACCGUCAUGAGGCUGAAGCGGACUGCGGUCUGGAGGAACCGGAUCAGGAUCUUCAUUUCACAUCCAGACCAGGAAGCAAAGGCCCAGUCCAGACUGCUGCUGUCUGCUUUUAGUGUCACUGAUUCCAAAACUGAUCCUGCACUAAUGUAACCCUGAUCUGUCUGAUUUUGUGACCAAACACAUACAGUACAGUUGAUUGAGUGUUUGGAGGGCUCCCCCUAGUGGUGACUGACCGUGUUGGCAGGAUGUCUUUGUUUCUGCUGCUGGUCUCAAUCAGGUCUGGAUGAAACUUCUAACUGAACUGAUUCAGUUUCAAUAAAAACCAAGCAGAAAAUGAACUGCAACGAUG